GUUAGGAGGGAAACGAAUGCAGCUGAAGUGGCUCCGUAUCAGGUUCAGGGGGUGUCGGCGGAUAUUCCGGGUGUGGGCAGCUAGCGCGUCCUCGCUCGGAUAGGACGUCGACUUCCCUGCACUCCCGUUGGGAGCCGGCCAACAGCGGUUGCCCGUGGCCCAGAAGGUCGGUCGGGAGGUGACUCUGCACUCGUGCAGAGAGCGUAUAGCCGUCCGUCCGGAGGUCUGGGGGCGACCGAGGAGAGUCGUGAGUCUUCACGUGUGCGGCGCAGGCCCUAGCGGGCCGGGUCGCCUCUGUCCGUUUGGGCCCCGCGACGGGGACUGCUUGCAGUGUCCGCCGACGGUCAGUCUGCUCGGUCGGGGGAUCGACCACGCCCUGCGCUCCGGUUGUUGGUGCUCAAAUGGCUGCAUCCGACCC
rnacentral:rRNA from 1 species